UACGUAGGUGGCAAGCGUUGUCCGGAAUUAUUGGGCGUAAAGCGCGCGCAGGCGGUCACUUAAGUCUGAUGUGAAAGCCCCCGGCUCAACCGGAGCGGGUCAUUGGAAACUGGGAGACUUGAGGACAGAAGAGGAGAGUGGAAUUCCAAGUGUAGCGGUGAAAUGCGUAGAUAUUUGGAGGAACACCAGUGGCGAAGGCGGCUCUCUGGUCUGGUACUGACGCUGAGGCGCGAAAGCGUGGGGAGCAAACAGG
rnacentral:rRNA from 1 species